rnacentral:rRNA from 1 species
CCUACGGGUGGCAGCAGUGAGGAAUAUUGGUCAAUGGGAGAGAUCCUGAACCAGCCAAGCCGCGUGAGGGAAGACGGCCCUAUGGGUUGUAAACCUCUUUUGUCGGAGAACAAAACCCGGGACGUGUCCCGGACUGCGUGUAUCCGAAGAAAAAGCAUCGGCUAACCUCGUGCCAGCAGCCGCGGUAAUACGGAGCAUGCGAGCGUUAGCCGGAUUGAGUGGGGUUAAAGGGGGCGUCGGCGGUCCGUUAAGUCAGCGGUAAAAUUGCGGGGCUAAGCCCCGCCGAGCAGUUGAAACUGGCAGACUUGAGUUGGCGAGAAGUACGCGGAAUGCGCGGUGUAGCGGUGAAAUGCAUAGAUAUCGCGCAGAACUCCGAUUGCGAAGGCAGCGUACCGGCGCCAGACUGACGCUGAGGCACGAAAGCGUGGGGAUCGAACAGGAUUAGAUACCCGAGUAGUC